rnacentral:rRNA from 1 species
GAACUUAAGCAUAUUAAUAAGCGGAGGAAAAGAAACUAACAAGGAUUCCCCUAGUAACGGCGAGUGAAGCGGGAUGAGCUCAAGCUUAAAAUCUCUGUCACAUAUUUAUUAUGUGCGGCGAAUUGUAGUCUAUAGAAGCGUGGUCAGUGUAGGCACUUGAGAUAAGUUCCUUGAAAAAGGACAGCAUGGAGGGUGAAACUCCCGUUCAUACUUGAGUAGCUUAUGCGUACGACCCGUUUUCUUUGAGUCGCGUUGUUUGAGAAUGCAGCGCAAAGUAGGUGGUAAAUUCCAUCUAAAGCUAAAUAUUGGUGCGAGACCGAUAGCGAACAAGUACCGUGAGGGAAAGAUGAAAAGAACUUUGAAAAGAGAGUUAAAGAGUACCUGAAACUGCUGAAAGGGAACCGGAUCGUUUCUAGUGUCUAUAAUCUGUGACAUAUUUCAUUGGGGAGUGUGUGCGUGUGUAUACUAUGGCAGUGGCUUUUUGGCUGCGCUUGGUGUGCGUGCUGUAUGUGCUUACUGGUGCCCUGUGUUGCGGUGGGACGUCAAGGUCGGUUUGUAUACUGCGGGAAAUGGCUAUUGAGGAGGUAGGGCUUACGCUUGCGUUUGUCUAUUAUAUCUUGGUAGUUGUGUCGUGGUUGAGACUGAGGUGUCUACAACGUGCUUAUGAGUGGGACUGUGUCUCCGUGUGCGCCGUGUGCGGAUAGCUUGCUAUGUGUGUGUGGUGGUGUGUGGAUUGAUGCGGGCUUUAACUUGUUGCCGUUCGGGACGUUGGCGAAAUAGAGCGAUUUGACCCGUCUUGAAACACGGACCAAGGAGUCUAACAUGUGUGCAAGUGUUAGGGUGUGGAAACCCAAGCGCGAAAUGAAAGUAAAGGAUAGUGUAAACUGUCUGAGGUAGGAAAUGCUGCGGAUUUCGGUCUGUGGCGUGGCACUAUCGACCGAUCAUGAACCUUCGUGGUGAAAGAUUUGAGUUUGAGCACAUAUGUUGGUACCCGAAAGAU